ensembl:lncRNA
GUUCUUGAAUGCAUUAAACAUAUUAUAACGUAUGUAGGUUCUGUAUGAAUGUGCGUUGUUCUAUGUUGCAGUUCCCGCCUGUCAACCCACACCAGUCUACUGGCCAUCAUCAUCUCCUGGCUGGUACUGUAAGUAUACACUAAGGCUCUAAAGCACCUCUUGAAUAUACUGUACAAUAUCAGUGGUGUUUGUUUUUCUGUAUACUGCAUGUCACUCUUCUAUUGCAGUAUAAUACAGUCCUGUACAUGUCCAGUGUAAUAUAUCCUUCUCAAACUUGACUGAAAAGGUGUUGAUUCUAUUUAUCUUCCAGUGCAUCAUAUAUUCACAGACAAUCCAUUUCCACCUACACCCAUGACAGGUAUUUGGUAUUAUUUUAAUUCUUGCCAAUCAGGCAUUUGAUGUCAACAUUAACAAUAUUUAAACGUGCCUGACAUUUUGUUUUGCAGAGCUCUGUGUUGUUAUUUGGGCGAGGAGUUUCUCCUGACCAUAUGACUAGACCAGGAAAACUUCCAGGCCCUAGUUACUAGGGCUGAGAGUUAUUUGCUUCAUAGCCUCUGUUUACUGUAUGUCCUUACGUCCUUAUGUCUGGUGCUUCUCACCUCAAAGAUCUUGUGAUUACAAAAAAUACAUGUAAAAGCCCUUUAUUAUUUUCAAUUACAUUCUGUCACAUGAAUUCGUUUUUGUGCACCAUAUUUUAUAACUUCAGUACCAUUUAAGUACAGUACAUGGUUACCAAGUACGCAAUGAAAAGGUGUUGUACAUAGAAGUCUAACUGAUCUGUUUUCUUGCUGUUUAACAUUAUUUAACAUCCCUGGUUUAGUCCCGUGUUGCGCACCACCUCAGCUACUUUUGUCUCCUUGUCGUCACGUACAAUUUUAACUAGCUAACCUGUUUGAUCUUAUCUAGAGUAACAUAAUACAUGAUGAGAUAUGUCAUCUGGGUCCAUUUGAAUUUACAACUUUUUUUCAUCAUCUCCACUGCCCAUUCCAACAGCUCAUCCAGCGCAGCCGUUUUAUCAAGCUCCUCCAGCUUAUCAAGUUUAUCAAGCUCCUCCAAUUUAUCAAGCUCCUCCAGUUCAACCAGCACCAGCUCAACCAGCUCAUCCAACAGCUCCAGUUCAACCAGCUCAACCAGCACCAGCUCAACCAACAGCUCCAGUUCAACCAGCUGAACCAGUACCUGGACCUGCACCAGCUCCAUCGACUCAAGAACCACAGGCUCCCAAAGAAAAGGCUGCCUCCACAAAGAAGGGUACGAACAUAUUGUGUUGAUUCAAAGGGAUACACUUAUGUAACUUGUUCAUGUCUGAUCGGAACAUAUUCUUCUUUACUCUUAGUUCCAAAGGAAAAGACCAAGGCAGCUGCCUCAAAGACGGAGUCUCCUAAAGGAAAAGUUAAGAAGCAAGAACUUGUGGUGUCCAACGGGAAGGUCAAACCAGCUGUUGUAAAGAAAGAAGCUGUUGUCUCUGAAGAAAAGACAAAACCUUCCACAACAAAGAAAGAUCCUGUGGAAAAAGGCAAGGACAAAAUAACUCCUACAAAGAAAGAGCCUGCAAUCUCCAAAGAAAAAGUCAAGGCAACCACUAGCAAGACAACCACACCCACUACCAAGAAAGUUGUUUUAGAACCCGAGCCCCCUAAAGAAAAAACCACUCCAAGAGUCCCCACUAUGAGGAAAGGUAACCACACAAAUGUAGUGGUGCCAAUGGUCAAAGCCACCGCAAGAGUUGUCGCUAUAAGACCCAUAUCUACAAAAAAAGGUCCUGCGAUGAAGGAGAAGCUAACUAACGCACCUGAAGCAGGUACAGUAAAGUGCAUCACUCCUAUCUAUUAG